GCCAUAUCACAUUGAAACACUGUUUCCCAUGCAAUCACCAAAGUUAAGGAGCAUUGAGUUUAGUCAGUACCUAGAUGGGUGAUCGCUUGGCAAUGGCAGGUGCUGUAAU